CAUGUCCUGGAUAUGCAAAGAGAAGAGGCAACUGGAGAGAACUACCCACAAGAGAAGGAGGAGAAAAGGUGCAGGAAUGGACAGAAACUGGCCAAUCAUGAGGCUGAAUAAGUGGCCCUAAGUCCUACCCUGCUGAAAUAUUCCUGAAAAUGGUUUGAAGACUAGAAAAACCUCUUAUCAAAAUUCUUCAGUGGUUGUUUCUUUCCCUUGUCCUCAAAACUGAGAUUAUUACAGUAUCUUUCUUGUUUAUUCAGUACCUACACCUGGGAUUUCCAGGCUCCUUACAAUGGCAUCCAUCUCUGCUGAUAACCACCGUGCUUGGAACUCUAGCAAGACUGUGGUAACCCUGGGCAACAUAGUAAACAGAGGGCAAAAUAGUAGCCCUCUGUUUGAAGCAGAAGCUAUUUCACACUAGAUGUUGCCUAUGUUCCAGUGGCACAUAAAAUCCCACAUUAAACAAGACAUCAUUUUGUUGUACAUCUUUCAUCAUUACAGUUGGGUAAGGAGGUUGGGGAGAUUUUGUCUCUCACCACCUCUCAGGAAGUUGGAUGUCAACAUAUGAACCCCUCCCCUCUGUUACCAAGGGCGAGAGAUAUUGUGGCUUCUUCUUGGAUCUCUGAAUGGUGGUGAGAUCAAUCUCUGGGCCAGCCAAGUAUGGAACUCAAUCCAAAACAACGGACUUCUUUUGUUUCAUGUCAGUUCAGCUUCCUACAAACAAAAUUAAAGCAGCAUUGGGUUAGUAAUUGGAAAUGCAUAUCAAAGAGAAGAAGCUUAACUCAAAACAGAUUUUCCUAACCAUCUUCAAUGUACAUGUGUAGGAGGAAUGCAUUCUUUAUUUGUAGCAGUGCAAAUGUCAGUGAUUACAAACAUGUGUGUGACUGUU